rnacentral:rRNA from 1 species
AUUGAACGCUGGCGGCAGGCCUAACACAUGCAAGUCGAACGAGUGGCGGACGGGUGAGUAAUGUCUGGGAAACUGCCCGAUGGAGGGGGAUAACUACUGGAAACGGUAGCUAAUACCGCAUACCAUCGGAUGUGCCCAGAUGGGAUUAGCUAGUAGGUGGGGUAACGGCUCACCUAGGCGACGAUCCCUAGCUGGUCUGCGAGGAUGACCAGCAACACUGGAACUGAUCUACGGUCCAGACUCCUACGGGAGGCAGCAGUGGGGAAGAUUGCACAAUGGGCGCAAGCCUGAUGCAGCCAUGCAGGGUGUAUGAAGAAGGCCUUCGGGUUGUAAACUACUUUCAGCGAGGAGGCGUUACUCGCAGAAGAAGCACCGGCUAACUCCGUGCCAGCAGCCGCGGUAAUAC